rnacentral:rRNA from 1 species
AUACAAUGGAGAGUUUGAUCCUGGCUCAGGAUGAACGCUAGCGGGAGGCCUAACACAUGCAAGCCGAGCGGUAGAUUGCUUUCGGGCAAUUGAGAGCGGCGUACGGGUGCGGAACACGUGUGCAACCUGCCUUUAUCUGGGGGGAUAGCCUUUCGAAAGGAAGAUUAAUACCCCAUAAUAUAAGAGACGGCAUCGUUUUUUUAUUGAAAACUCCGGUGGAUAGAGAUGGGCACGCGCAAGAUUAGAUAGUUGGUGAGGUAACGGCUCACCAAGUCGACGAUCUUUAGGGGGCCUGAGAGGGUGAUCCCCCACACUGGUACUGAGACACGGACCAGACUCCUACGGGAGGCAGCAGUGAGGAAUAUUGGACAAUGGGUGAAAGCCUGAUCCAGCCAUCCCGCGUGAAGGACGACGGCCCUAUGGGUUGUAAACUUCUUUUGUAUAGGGAUAAACCUUUCCACGUGUGGAAAGCUGAAGGUACUAUACGA